rnacentral:rRNA from 1 species
UGGGGAAUUUUGGACAAAGGGGGAAACCCUGAUCCAGCCAUCCCGCGUGUGCGAUGAAGGCCUUCGGGUUGUAAAGCACUUUUGGCAGGAAAGAAACGUCAUGGGUUAAUACCCCGUGAAACUGACGGUACCUGCAGAAUAAGCACCGGCUAACUACGUGCCAGCAGCCGCGGUAAUACGUAGGGUGCAAGCGUUAAUCGGAAUUACUGGGCGUAAAGCGUGCGCAGGCGGUUCGGAAAGAAAGAUGUGAAAUCCCAGAGCUCAACUUUGGAACUGCAUUUUUAACUACCGGGCUAGAGUGUGUCAGAGGGAGGUGGAAUUCCGCGUGUAGCAGUGAAAUGCGUAGAUAUGCGGAGGAACACCGAUGGCGAAGGCAGCCUCCUGGGAUAACACUGACGCUCAUGCACGAAAGCGUGGGGAGCAAACAGG